rnacentral:lncRNA from 1 species
CUAAAAUGGUAUGUACAUAUUAAUUCUGUAUUUAAUUCGUAUUUUAGAGCAUAAAAAAUUUAGAGGAAAAGAGAGAACCCCAUAUAUUUAGAUGCAUGAGGAUCUGACUCUUUAAUUUAGAGUGCCUUUUAGAGGCAACGACAGUAGCUUUAGGGUGUGUCUAAAACUUUAGGGAACGCUUUAGGCAAGCACCCUUGAAGAAAGUUUUACACACUAUGCUGGGCCUUCUGACAUGUUUUAAUCUAACAAAAAGUUCUUUGGAACAGACUGCAUAAUAGUUUUAUUAGUUAUAAUUAGCGGCAACGACUGCUAUGCAAGCAGUGUUUCUGUGCAAGCGUGCAAGCAAACCAUCUGAUCCAUUAAAUUAUGAUCCAACCACAGAUACAACCAUGAUUUGUUAGAGUUUUUUUUAUAAAAAUUAUUGAGCUGGUGAUGGAAGGGUUUAAAUGUUAGAUAUGAAUUACGGUUGGAUCACGAUCUAAUGGAUCAGAUGGUUUGCUUGCACGCUUGCACAGAAGCACUGCUUGCAUAACAGUCGUUCUCUUAAUUAGCAUGCCUUUCAGAGAUCCCUCAAGAAAUAAAAUGCAUAAUGGGCCUGUCAUAUCUCACAAUAACAAUUGUUAGCAAGAGGGCGUAUAUUUUAAAUCUUGGUAUCUACAAUGUUUUGUUUACUCAGACCUCCUGAAAUAAUGUAUCUUCAUCCAAAGCUUUGAACUACAGGAAAAGGAUAUUCUUGACUAUGCAAGACAGUCACUAUAGAGUAAACCAUCCUUACUAUGGCUUCUACAUAAAGUUAUUAUGUGUUAAUGUUUACGAUGAAAUAGAUCAGCAUCGUAAUUGUGAGAUUACUGAAAGGAUUCAAUGUCUUCGACGCAUUCCAUAUUCAGAAAAUUCAUCUAAUGGUUCCAUGAUGACAUAGUUAUAGUUCAAGUUCGUGCUGAGUAUUAGCAAGUUGCACGCUGAUUCUGACAUUUCACUUUUGUCUUCUAAAUGAGUGACUGAUCGACUCCAGCUUCCUUGGUUGUAUCUUUCACUUUUCAUGUAGCAUGAGAUGAUCAUGAACUAGUUGUGUGUCACUGGUAUGUGUGUGUGCGUGCGUGUGUUGGUAGGGUCGGGG